AGGAUAAUAGUUAAAUUAACAUUUAAUUUGCAUUUAAAAAAUACUGGAAUUCAGUUUAUCUU
rnacentral:tRNA from 1 species